CAGCCGCCGCGGUAAUACGGAGGGUGCAAGCGUUGUCCGGAUUUAUUGGGUUUAAAGGGUGCGUAGGCGGCCUAAUAAGUCAGUGGUGAAAGCCUCCAGCUUAACUGGAGAACUGCCAUUGAUACUGUUAGGCUUGAGUAUACUUGAGGUAGGCGGAAUUGACAGUGUAGCGGUGAAAUGCAUAGAUAUUGUCAAGAACACCAAUUGCGAAGGCAGCUUACUAAAUUAUAACUGACGCUGAGGCACGAAAGUGUGGGUAUCAAACAGGAUUAGAUACCCCAGUAGUCCCUGUCUCUUAUAU
rnacentral:rRNA from 1 species